rnacentral:misc_RNA from 1 species
AAUCUUAACUGAAGUUAAGCUACUUGGUCAAGGUGUACAAAUGGCUGAAUUAAUAGAUUUGAUACACUUGACGUACCAUUUUCUCUUUCUUGCCAAGUCACAGGUAUUAUGGUACAUGGUUGUUUUAACUUCUUUGCCAUGGUAGAUUUACUCAGCAUUUGUCAUAAGUCAACAGUAAGGGGUCCAAACGGGAUUUAUUGUAACUUCAUGUGGUAAAGAAGAUGCAUUGUGGACUACUGUUAUUAUUUAUGUUAUUUCCGCGACCCGGAUACUCAAACAUUGGUGGUCAUGAUCUCUUCACUUCUCUCAGUAAUCUCAAGGAUCUUUGGAUAAAUGAUCAAGAAGUUGUACAAGACUUUGAAGACGUCGCUCAGAAUCUGGAGAGUAUGGCGAAGCAUUUAAGACAAUAUGUAAAAAGUCACAAAAAGAAUGGACUCGACUCAGAAGUUAACAUUAGCUUCCUUGGUCAUCCUAUCAACUCUUAUCAUCUGAUCAAACAUGUGAGCAUGGGUUGGAGGGAUAUCGUAGAUAAUGUACUUAACGUUGAAAAAAUUGUACGAGAAAAAUUUGAUAAAUUCCAUGAGAGAGGAGAGAAGCAAUUGCCUGAUUAUUACGACAUUCAAGGCGCAUCCUUUGGAAUUGCACGUCUUAUAUCGCUAUAUGAAUUAAAUGCGACUUCUCUUGUUCGUGAGGGAAGAGUUGUUGGAGAACUUGGCGACUGGCAAACUAUUUACUCAGAGCCCAGUCAUGUGUCCCUCAAUGCUUGGGACGUGUACUCUAUUGCUGCUGAAGCAUUUUCCAAUCGACUAUUUAACGCCGGAUAUGACAUGUUAGAUUUGGCACUUAAGAAGCUAAUGGAAGAAAAGAUUAAUCCUCCAAACGAUCAAGUUGUUUUUAAUGUCACUGCAACCCACUUGGAGAUGGAUGUCGUACGCUCAUCUCUCAAGAAGGUCAUAGAAAUGCAUAAUGUGUUUUUGAAAAAGCGGGGGAAUAUUUCUUCGAGCCAUCGAACUCAUGAUCAUCCAGUUGGAUUAAAGAAACCUAAAAAAAAAUCUAAAAAGAAAAUUUCCAAAAACCGCUUUGCAAUUAUGGAUAAUCUAAUCAAAGAUCUAGAAACAUAUGAAAAUGCUUUAAAAAGUGAAGAAACAUAUGUUAAGACACCCAUUCAAACAAAUUUAUUGUGUUCCGGAGUUAAAUUUCGGACUCCGAAAGAGGAUGCAGAUCUGAGAUGUUUUUAUGCUGAUUCAGGCAAUCCGUGGUUAAAACUGGGACCCAUUAAAACAGAAAUUCUCAAUUAUGAUCCAUAUGUAGCUGCAUUUCGUGAACUAUUAUUUGAUGAGGAAUGUGAUAAUAUUACUGAAUAUUUAAGUCCAAAACUUGAUUUCCCUCCAGGAAGAAUGAAGUCAAACUCUCUUAAAAAUGACUGGACAAUGAAAAACACUUGGCCAGUUGAGGAUGAUAACAAAGUUUUGGAAAAGUUGACUUUAAGAGUUGAGGCAGUCAUGGAUUUACUUGCGAAUAGUAAAAAUAAUGAAUCUGAUAAAUUCAUGUGUGGAAAUUAUGGAAUCGGUGGUCAUUAUGGAACACAUCCAGACUUUUCUGCUUAUAGCCAUGAAGAAUUUAAAGUCCCUGGUUCAAAAGUGAAUCGAAUCAGUACUGUAAUGACAAUUUUGCAAUCUCCUUCUGCAGUUGUCCAUAGGAGGAGCCACUGUUUUCCCAUAUACUGGUGCUUAUUCAUAUCCAGAAAAGGGAACUGGAAUCGGAUGGUAUAAUUUGAAAGACGAUGGCUAUCCUGAUGAACUCACUCGACACGCAGCAUGUCCUGUUUUAUUUGGACAGAAAUGGAUUGGAAAUAAAUGGAUCGGAUAUACUCCUCAGAUUUACAAGAAACCCUGCUCACUCAAAAUGGGAACAAAACUUUCCGGACCUCUACCAAAGUUUAAAA